rnacentral:lncRNA from 1 species
CUCCAGCGGCGCCAUAUGAUCCACCAGCAAGGGAGGACGCCAAUGAAAGGUGUCCAAUAAGAUAAGUCUUAUAAAAUAUAUAGAUUUAUGAUAAUUAAGACUGAACUAGCAGAUGAGAAAUCCUAGUCAUCGGCCAAGCAGCAUUUGUACAUAAUAUAAGUCUCUGUAUAAUUUUGUCCAUCCACGUGCGGGCAGAACUCAGGUGGCUGGCAGAGACCGCCCAUGUGGUAGGGCUUGUGCAGCUUUUGGUGGAAAGAUUUAUCAUAACAAGGACUAUUACACAGAGAACCCUGUCUUGAAAAAACACAGAGAGAGAGAGAGAGAGAGAGAGAGAGAGAGAGAGAGAGAGAGAAAGAGAGAGAGAGAGAGAGAGAGAGAGAGAGAGAAGCCCAGAGUAAAAGGUAGAUGGGAUAAUUUAAGAAAAACUGGCUAGAAACAAGUCAAGCUAAGGCUGGGCAUUCAUAAUAAAAAAUAAACCUCCAUGUUAUUUAUUUGAGAGCUGGAUGUCAGGCCACAAAAGAGCAAAAAGUAAAGAGCAAAAAGUAAAAACAACCCAUUACACAGGAGCAUACAUCUACACAUAUACCUACAUACAUCUAUACGCACACUCACAAAUGUACAUACACAUGAAAACACACAGAGAAAAAGUAAAAGGCUUUGUGUGGAUUGAGCCAAACCAUAGUAAAUACUGUCAUUAAAGCAAAAUUAGUCCAGGUUUUCAAUUCCAGAGAUGCCAGAUAGCUGAGGUCAUGGCUGUCUUGUUAUUGAGUGUGAACUAAUCAGAGCAAAGGUUAUGCAGUGCUCCUAUUCCCAGACACUGAGUCACCAGUGACCCAGCAUGUAUCAUUUUGCUCUAUUUGUGUCUUGGAACCUAAUGUAGAAUGCACCCUCACACAAUCCCUCAGGGAAAUCACAGGAGCGCUGUUAAUUAAUGUUUGGAAAAUAGCCUAAUUUGUAUAUGUCUAGCCUUCUGAAACAUGACAUCAAUGCGUUUGAGAUGUAGAGUUAAUUAAUUAAAUUAGUCAACUACAACUCCAGGCAUACUUAAUAUUUGUUAAGCUACAUUCUGAUGCAGGAGUUUGCUUUUUGAGACAGGGUUUCUCUUUGUAACCUUGGCUGUUCUGGAACUUGUUUUGUAGACCAAGCUGGUCUCGAGUUCACCAAGUGCUGGGAUUAAAGGUGUGUACCACCAUCACCUUUUUUAAAAAAGAUUUAUUUAUUUAUUAUGUAUACAGUGUUCUGCCUGCAUAUAUGCCUACACGCCAGUUCUCAUUAUAGAUGGUUGUUAGCCGCCAUGUGGUUGCUGAGAAUUGAAUUCAGGACCUCUGGAAGAGCAACCAGUACUCUUAACCUGAGUCAUCUCUCCACCCCUACCUGCCACCACAGCUGCUUUUGAAGUAAUAGUCACAGAAGGCUUCUGAGGAGACAUAGCCCCUUGCCUGGGGAUGUAGCUCUGUAGUGCCCAAAUUCUGAAGCCCAAAAUCAUGAAGAAACCCAUUCCAAUGCAAAAGCAAAGAGUCUUUUAUUAUUAACAAGCUAACUGUAUUAUCUCUGUCCAUCCCACACUGUGGGUGCAGUGAGAAAGACCUAGAGGGGCUGAGAGGCAGGGAAUAUAUUGGGGUGAGCAAGGGGAGUGUCUAGAGAUAUGCAACAGUCUCAGGACUGGUACACUUCCAGGCUUGGGUGACCUGUCCUGUGUUGAUUGGUCAACUGGUUGCUAUGGCCAAUAGGCCCUCCCAGGGUGGUUGCUAUGCUCUGCAAGCCACUGCUACACCAUUGUUAUCAUAAGACACAUCCAGAGCCCGGAAAGCACUGGCCGGAGCCUACCAGCUAAUGUCUGAUUGGUUUCUUGCCACGUGGAGGCUUCCUGGUGACUGGGAAAGGUCCAGCAAGAUCAGAAGUGCUGAAUCAGAGGCCUACAUCUUGCUGGGUCUUUUCUGUAGCUGGUCAUGACUGCUAAAGCAGGGGGCUGGGUGAGGGUCUGGUCCCUUCAGCUCAAAGAAACAAACAAACAAACAAAAAAAAAAAAAACCAGCAGUGCUGGGAAGAAGCCCUGUGUAGUUGAUGCACUCGAUGUCACACCGUCUGUGUGCGUUAUUACCAGGAGAGCUGACGUGGAAGAAGUCCAGGUCUUGACGGGAAGAGACUGAAUCUUAGCAACAAUGACUAUCCGGGAAAGUCUACUUGUGGGGAGUCCCUACAAAUGCCACUGCUGUCAAUCUUCAUGAUGCAAGAAGGAAAUCUGGUUCAACAUGACUCAGUAGGGCUGGAGAGAUGGCUCAGUGGUUUAGAGCAUUGGCUGCUUUUCCAGAGGUUAUGAGUUCAAUUCUCAGCAACCAAAUGAUGGCUCAUAUCCAUCUACAGUGGUAUCUGAUGCCCUCUUCUGACAUAAAAUUGUACAUGCAAAUGCAGCACUCAAACAUAAUACAAAUAAAUUAAUUUUUUAAGUAUAAGCCUAAUAAACCCUUUGAAAAACAAAGAAAACUCUUAUAAAGCACAUGUGAACUCUCCCAUAAGAAUGAGUACUAAGCCAGGAGACAGAGGUCUACAUAGUGAAUUCAGGACAGCCAAAGCUGCAUAGAGAAACUUGGUCUCAAAAAAGAAAAAAAAGGAGCUGGGGGAGGGGGGUGAUGCACUGACUGAGAAACAAAACUCAGGAUGAAGGUCGUGGGAGGAAG